rnacentral:rRNA from 1 species
ACUACGGGGGGCAGCAGUGGGGAAUAUUGGGCAAUGGGCGCAAGCCUGACCCAGCAACGCCGCGUGAAGGAAGAAGGCUUUCGGGUUGUAAACUUCUUUUGUCAGGGAAGAGUAGAAGACGGAACAUGACGAAAAAGCUACGGCUAACUACGUGCCAGCAGCCGCGGUAAUACGUGGGUGGCAAGCGUUGUACGGAUUUACUGGGUGUAAAGGGCGUGGAGCCGGGUUGUCAAGUCAGAUGUGAAAUCCUGCGGCUUAACCGCAGAACUGCAUUUGAAACUGUUGAUCUUGAGUACUGGAGAGGCAGGCGGAAUUCCUAGUGUAGCGGUGAAAUGCGUAUAUAUUAGGAGGAACACCAGUGGCGAAGGCGGUCUGCUGGACAGCAACUGACGGUGAGGCGCGAAAGCGUGGGGAGCAAACAGGAUUAGAUACCCGAGUAGUC